rnacentral:rRNA from 1 species
CAGUCGCCGCGGUAAUACGGAGGGUGCAAGCGUUAAUCGGAAUUACUGGGCGUAAAGCGUGCGCAGGCGGUUUGUUAAGACAGAUGUGAAAUCCCCGGGCUCAACCUGGGAACUGCAUUUGUGACUGGCAAGCUAGAGUCUGGCAGAGGGGGGUGGAAUUCCGCGUGUAGCAGUGAAAUGCGUAGAUAUGCGGAGGAACACCGAUGGCGAAGGCAGCCCCCUGGGCCAACACUGACGCUCAUGCACGAAAGCGUGGGGAGCAAACAGGAUUAGAUACCCGUGUAGUCCCUGUCUCUUAUAA